UUUAUUGAGAGUUUGAUCCUGGCUCAGGACGAACGCUGGCGGCGUGCCUAACACAUGCAAGUCGAGCGAUGAAGUUCCUUCGGGAACG
rnacentral:rRNA from 1 species